GGGGUUGUAACUCAGUGGUAGAGUGUUCGCUUUGUAUGCGAAAAGAACGGAAUUCACUCCUCCGCAACUCCA
rnacentral:tRNA from 1 species